UUAGCUCUAUGAGCUGUUAUAGAAUUGUACUGUCGCAGUAUCCUCGAGACGAGUACUCCAGGUAGUUUAGAUUACAUUUACACUCGUGCUGGUACGCCGAGUGGAUUUAUACAGGGUCGUUUAGACUGUUCCGGACUGUAGGGUGCCGUUGAGGUUGACGGUGGACCCGUAUCGCCUUUUUGGCGUCUGAUUGUGCCGAGAGCACAUUACCUGUUGGUUGUUUGACCAGUUAGAGUCGAUUUCUUGACUUUGGCUUUUCAGAGCCUGUUUGAGCUCGACAGAGAUACGCUGCAUACUCGGUUGGGUAGCGCCCACGAGUGCCACUCCGGAGUCAGGCUUUGUGCUUUCGCGUUGGUGUCGCUCAUGCCAGUUGGACUUGCUCUCCACGGACCAGUUAGUGUGGAUAGAGCCUGAUAGUCGCAACGGGGCAGGGACGGGUGUAUUCACAGUCCCGGGGACGGGUAUGCUUACAGUCCCGAUUGGAUUGGGUCAGAUUUGACAUUUCCUACAGUUGGUUAGUGUAGAGCAUGAUAGUGUAGUGAUUGAUAGCGGUAGAGUGUACUUCCUGCUUUUCCUACUAUUCUUGCUCCCUUCUGUAGACUUAGUGGGUGGACCGAUGUUGUUUUGGGCGGUACCCACUGAGGACUACUUGUUUUUACAGUAGUUCUCACGCCCAGUUGUUACCCCUGUUUUGCAGAGCCACAGGUUUCGGCUGCUGCGCCUUCCGCGGAUCAGGAUCGAGGCGAGGGCGUCCCGAGUUAGAGCCCUACCCGACGUGCUGAGCUAGAGGUGCCCCUACUAUAGGUAGAUGUUUUGUUUCGAGUUUAUGUACAUAGUAGACUUAACUCGCCAGUGCGAGUAGCUCUGUAUUUUGGAUUUGGACUAUGUAUAUGAAACUCAGUUUGUUUAGCUUCUG
rnacentral:lncRNA from 1 species